rnacentral:rRNA from 1 species
AAGCCAUGCGAGUCAUGGGGCGCGCUCUGCGCGCACCGGCGGACGGCUCAGUAACACGUCGGUAACCUACCCUCGGGAGGGGGAUAACCCCGGGAAACUGGGGCUAAUCCCCCAUAGGCCUGGGGUACUGGAAGGUCCCCAGGCCGAAAGGGGCAUCUGCCCGCCCGAGGAUGGGCCGGCGGCCGAUUAGGUAGUUGGUGGGGUAACGGCCCACCAAGCCGAAGAUCGGUACGGGCCAUGAGAGUGGGAGCCCGGAGAUGGACACUGAGACACGGGUCCAGGCCCUACGGGGCGCAGCAGGCGCGAAACCUCCGCAAUGCGGGCAACCGCGACGGGGGGACCCCCAGUGCCGUGGCAUCGCCACGGCUUUUCCGGAGUGUAAAAAGCUCCGGGAAUAAGGGCUGGGCAAGGCCGGUGGCAGCCGCCGCGGUAAUACCGGCGGCCCAA